UUUAAGUUUAGGCCGAAAAGAUAGAGCCGCUAUUUGGACCACUAUAGCAUCAAUAUCGGUAUAAUAAUGCCGAUAAUUGCUGGCCUGCUAUUUUGACUGAGGUCCGCUGACCGUGGGACAGCAGUGAGACAACGGUGGAAAUUAUCCUUCAAUGGCGAGCUACUUCCUGAAGAUGUAUCAUCAUCCAUUUCCAUCAUACUGUUAUGUUGAUUUCCAUGGUCAAACCGAAGUUCUAUCGGUAAAAGUCCUUCAGUAGUAAAUCUUCUGCUCUCAACUUCUUUUGGAUCAAAAUGCUUGUUAUCUCCUUGUUUGGUACUGCCACAAGAAUCUUGUCUGAGUCCACUGCCGCGAUCCUGUAUGACACCACUUGACAAAUCUUGUUUUCCCUGUGCCUGCCCUUCAUCAUUGGAGGGAUACUUGUGUUCUGCAAAAAGAAGAAAAAGACUGCUAAAGGAUUUCAUGGAAAGGUAGCAGCUUUGAUCCAGAGAUAUAUAAACGGGUUAAUUUGUGUUGUGGUGAUCUCAAACAAGUCAAUUUUAACAAAUAAAAAAUUUGCUAAAAGAGAACAGGUCGAAGUCACCCAAAGUGUAAUUUUAAUGCAUUAAACUCCUCAUCA